rnacentral:rRNA from 1 species
GACGAACGCUGGCGGCGUGCCUAACACAUGCAAGUCGAACGGAAAGGCCCUGCUUUUGUGGGGUGCUCGAGUGGCGAACGGGUGAGUAACACGUGAGUAACCUGCCCUUGACUUUGGGAUAACUUCAGGAAACUGGGGCUAAUACCGGAUAGGAGCUCCUGCUGCAUGGUGGGGGGUGGAGAGUUUGGGCGGUUGGGGAUGGACUCGCGGCUUAUCAGCUUGUGGGUGGGGUAGUGGCUUACCAAGGCUUUGACGGGUAGCCGGCCUGAGAGGGUGACCGGCCACAUUGGGACUGAGAUACGGCCCAGACUCCUACGGGAGGCAGCAGUGGGGAAUAUUGCACAAUGGGCGGAAGCCUGAUGCAGCAACGCCGCGUGCGGGAUGACGGCCUUCGGGUUGUAAACCGCUUUCGCCUGUGACGAAGCGUGAGUGACGGUAAUGGGUAAAGAAGCACCGGCUAACUACGUG